UACAGAGGUCCCAAGCGUUGUUCGGAUUCAUUGGGCGUAAAGGGUGCGUAGGCGGCGCGGUAAGUCGGGUGUGAAAUCUCGGGGCUUAACUCCGAAACUGCAUUCGAUACUGCCGUGCUUAAGGACUGGAGAGGAGACUGGAAUUUACGGUGUAGCGGUGAAAUGCGUAGAUAUCGUAAGGAAGACCAGUGGCGAAGGCGGGUCUCUGGACAGUUCCUGACGCUGAGGCACGAAAGCGUGGGGAGCAAACAGG
rnacentral:rRNA from 1 species